ensembl:lncRNA
GUGCCUUUGAUCUUUUGGAGCAGAGUUUCUCAGUAUCAGUGCUACUCACAUUUUGAGCCAGAGAGUUGCCAUAGGAGAGUUGUAUGCUUUAGAAUGGUUCCAAGCAUUCCUGACCUCAGCACACCAACAGCAGCACAUAGAUUAUCAGUUAAUGUGUAACUUCACAGAAUCAGAUUCUUUAAUUGACAGCAAAUAGCACCAACAUGGACACAUUCUCCUAGAGAAUUAAAUGGUGCUCAGAUAGUGUUAUACAAUGCCCUGGCUUGGAGAGUAUAUGCUACAAGUUGUUUGUUUGUGUGUUUGAUUUUGGUUCUUUGAGAUAGGGUUCUCUGUGUAACAGCCCCAAAUAUCCCAGAACUUGCUUUGUAGACCAGGCUGGCCUUGAACUCACAGAGAUCCAUCUGCCUCUGCCUCCUGAGUGCUGGGAUUAAAAGCAUGUGCUCAGGAUAUACUUGAGGGUGAAACUCCUCAAGGAAGCCAUUUUGGAUUGUGCCGGUGUAGGCCUGCUCAUUUGUACACUUCACCUGCCCAUACCUAGGCUUCAAUGUUUCUACAAAUUGGAUCAGCGGCAAUGGCUAAGAGAAAGAGGACCCUUGAUGACAACUUUCACCGAAAGCUGUUCCAAUGAAGGGAACAUCACAACCAACCUGAAGGGGCACACAGGAGGAAGCCUCGUGAGGAAGCCUUGUUUUGACCCUCUUAUGUGUUCUGAUGGCAAAAAGCAAGGAGACAUGUGGGUUGAGAGAAUAUGAUUGGAGAAAGAGGGCAAGUCCUGUCUGAUGUAGGUUGAGAGAGAGCUACUAAAUGAAGGCUGGAGUGUUGACGGCUGCAUUUCCACACAAAGUGUUAGGGGACCAGAGACCCACUCUGCAAGAGCCUACUUCUGUUAGCCACUGUGCAAGAUGGCAAUAUUUAGGGCCGAACUCUAUGCUGAUACAUCUUCAAGUGUUCUUUAUCUUUAACUAAACUUUUAUUUUUCAAGCCGAGUAUGCUUACAUUUUUGUCUCUCACUUCAAUAUUUUAAACAUGUGCCUCAGGAUGUUGAGAUAAGCAAGCCCUAAGUUGUAGCUAUCCCUUCCUCUUAAAUUAUAGUCUUAACUAGGCAUGCUUGGGAAUGGCCAGCUCUUGUAUGAGUAUGAAUAGGAUCCCUGAAUAAAACCCCCAUGCUCCCUCUGUUCAAAGAGGGCAUCAUUUUGGAAACAAAAUAAUCUCUUUUUGUGGUAAGGCAAUAAACCAAUCUGUGGUGAUAUCUUUAUUGUACAAAUAUAGCAUGCCUGGAGAUCAGAGAGAUGGAGGAGCACCUUACCUUGCCAACUUCCCAGCUGAAAAGAGAAUGAGUUCCUGUUUCCUCUUGCUCAUAUUCCUCUCUCCGCCCAGCCAUCUCACUUCCUGUCUCUGCCCAGACAUCUCACUUCCUGUCUGUCUGUUAGCAAGUGGCAAGCUCCACCCUCUGAUCUUCAGACACCCUUUAUUUGUACAAACAAGAUAUCACCACACCAAUCUCUGUACUUGAUGUUGCAGCUGUACUUGUUUGGUUUCACACUUGCUAACAUAAACCCACUGUGUUCAAUUUCACUGCUGAGCUACUUGGAACUCACUGCAUGAGAUUUGGACCUGAUAAAACUCUAGUAUCUUGCAUCUCAUCCUAUAGGACUAUUGUUAGUUCUUCACACAGGAGGAAUGAAUGGGCUUUCAUUCAAACUUAAUAUAGCCCAGCAUCAAGUAGUCACCUUAAUGAUCCUUAGACACUCCAAUGGUAAUACUAUAGCUAAAGGAAAGACGAGAGACAGUAUUGCUCAGUAGACAUUCUCUGAUAAGCAUUAUUUGAAUCAAAUUUUCCCUGGAUGAAUUGACCAAAAUAAAUGACCUUAUCUUUUACAGUAUAAUAGUCUUAGUGAGCAAGCUUCACUUCAAAUGGAUUUCUAAUCCAUUAGAUUAGUUGUUGCUUGCAUUUCUUGUGAGGUCAAUCAAUACUGAAAAUUGAAGACAAACUUAUUUGAAUUCUAAUUAAAGUCCUUUUAUUAACAAUUCAACAUUGAAAUAUUUAGAAGCAUGGAAGUUUAUUGAGAAUGUCUUGUGCUUUCUAGACCAUUUCACUCUCCAGAAGCAAAAUAUGAUUUAUGAUGCACAUUUUUGUGUAUUUUCCUUGAAUAUACAGGCAUGCUUGUGUGUUAUAUGUACUAUUCAAAACAUGUAUAAUAAUUAAUGCAUCAUAGAUAUAAUUUCAUUUCUGCCUUUUUCUUUCUGAUAACUCAUAAGUAUUUUGUUGUUAGAUAUCUAACUAGUCUGUGAAUUAGUAGACAUCUAG